rfam:Ochotona princeps cont2.75584, whole genome shotgun sequence.
CCGAGCACAUGGGCCCGCGGGCCAGCCGGGCUCGGGGCGGCCGGGACGAGGAGGAGCAGCGAGGAGCCGCUAGCAGCCGCGGGUCUGGGCUCUCCCGGCACCAGCGAGUGGAUUUCCACGCGGAAAGGAUGCGGGCGCCUGGGUGACCCGUAAAGACACGGCAGGAGCCACCUUCCA